rnacentral:rRNA from 1 species
CCCCGGUAAACGGCGGCCGUAACUAUAACGGUCCUAAGGUAGCGAAAUUCCUUGUCGGGUAAGUUCCGACCUGCACGAAUGGCGUAAUGAUGGCCAGGCUGUCUCCACCCGAGACUCAGUGAAAUUGAACUCGCUGUGAAGAUGCAGUGUACCCGCGGCAAGACGGAAAGACCCCGUGAACCUUUACUAUAGCUUGACACUGAACAUUGAGCCUUGAUGUGUAGGAUAGGUGGGAGGCUUUGAAGUGUGGACGCCAGUCUGCAUGGAGCCGACCUUGAAAUACCACCCUUUAAUGUUUGAUGUUCUAACGUGGACCCGUAAUCCGGGUUGCGGACAGUGUCUGGUGGGUAGUUUGACUGGGGCGGUCUCCUCCUAAAGAGUAACGGAGGAGCACGAAGGUUGGCUAAUCCUGGUCGGACAUCAGGAGGUUAGUGCAAUGGCAUAAGC